rnacentral:rRNA from 1 species
UGGGGAAUAUUGCACAAUGGGGGAAACCCUGAUGCAGCGACGCCGCGUGAAGGAUGAAGUAUUUCGGUAUGUAAACUUCUAUCAGCAGGGAAGAAAAUGACGGUACCUGACUAAGAAGCCCCGGCUAACUACGUGCCAGCAGCCGCGGUAAUACGUAGGGGGCAAGCGUUAUCCGGAUUUACUGGGUGUAAAGGGAGCGUAGACGGCAGUGCAAGUCUGAAGUGAAAGCCCGGGGCUCAACCCCGGGACUGCUUUGGAAACUGUGCAGCUAGAGUGUCGGAGAGGCAAGCGGAAUUCCUAGUGUAGCGGUGAAAUGCGUAGAUAUUAGGAGGAACACCAGUGGCGAAGGCGGCUUGCUGGACGAUGACUGACGUUGAGGCUCGAAAGCGUGGGGAGCAAACA